AACACCAAAGAUCAUCUGAUACUAAAGACUAACCUUUUAACUAUUAAAACUGCUAAACCCUGUCAGACCUU